GACGUAGGAUGCAAGCGUUGUCCGGAAUUAUUGGGCGUAAAGAGUUCGUAGGCGGUUGCCUAAGUCUGAUGUUAAAUACUGGAGCUCAACUCCGGCAUGGCAUUGGAAACUGGGUAGCUAGAGUGUGGUAGAGGUCUCGGGAAUUCCAGGUGUAGCGGUGAAAUGCGUAGAUAUCUGGAGGAACACCGGUGGCGAAAGCGCGAGACUGGGCCAUAACUGACGCUGAGGAACGAAAGCCAGGGGAGCGAAAGGG
rnacentral:rRNA from 1 species